AAUCACUCAUAAUUGUACAUAUGUAAAUAUUAUUGUGACAUCAUUGAAUAGUGUUUUGAAUAAGUGAUUUAUCUGGAAUGAAAGCGGUUUCUUUUUUGUAUGAAAGUUUCUUUCGGAACCUUCCACUGUGUCAAUGAAGUAGAAAAAGCAUACUCAUUUUAUCAUCUAACUGUUAUCGAUACCGGUAUUGUCACACUUUAUCAUACUGUAUUUUACAUGUAAAUUCAGAA
rnacentral:lncRNA from 1 species